rnacentral:lncRNA from 1 species
GAAGAAAAAAAAAGAUACUGAUUUUACAUUUUGUCAUCCAUCCUGUUAAACUUCCACUGUGCUCACUAAUUUCUCCUCACCAUCUCUAUUUUCUUCAACUUGGUGGCCCAACUCUCCAAUUUUUCCUCAGAACCUGGUCACGGAAUCUACUACCGAAAGCUUGCCCAGAGUUGGCUUUUUCAUAGCUGUUUCCACUAUUCCAAAUAUGUGUCCCCGACCCUCUGUCUAACAUGUGUGUUUAUAAAUAAAGGCUAAAUACGGAGUGUCUAACAU